UUAAAUUGAAGAGUUUGAUCAUGGCUCAGAUUGAACGCUGGCGGCAGGCCUAACACAUGCAAGUCGAACGGUAACAGGAAGCAGCUUGCUGCUUUGCUGACGAGUGGCGGACGGGUGAGUAAUGUCUGGGAAACUGCCUGAUGGAGGGGGAUAACUACUGGAAACGGUGGCUAAUACCGCAUAACGUCGCAAGACCAAAGAGGGGGACCUUCGGGCCUCUUGCCAUCAGAUGUGCCCAGAUGGGAUUAGCUUGUUGGUGAGGUAACGGCUCACCAAGGCGACGAUCCCUAGCUGGUCUGAGAGGAUGACCAGCCACACUGGAACUGAGACACGGUCCAGACUCCUACGGGAGGCAGCAGUGGGGAAUAUUGCACAAUGGGCGCAAGCCUGAUGCAGCCAUGCCGCGUGUAUGAAGAAGGCCUUCGGGUUGUAAAGUACUUUCAGCGGGGAGGAAGGUGUUGUGGUUAAUAACCGCAGCAAUUGACGUUACCCGCAGAAGAAGCACCGGCUAACUCCGUGCCAGCAGCCGCGGUAAUACGGAGGGUGCAAGCGUUAAUCGGAAUUACUGGGCGUAAAGCGCACGCAGGCGGUCUGUCAAGUCGGAUGUGAAAUCCCCGGGCUCAACCUGGGAACUGCAUUCGAAACUGGCAGGCUUGAGUCUUGUAGAGGGGGGUAGAAUUCCAGGUGUAGCGGUGAAAUGCGUAGAGAUCUGGAGGAAUACCGGUGGCGAAGGCGGCCCCCUGGACAAAGACUGACGCUCAGGUGCGAAAGCGUGGGGAGCAAACAGGAUUAGAUACCCUGGUAGUCCACGCCGUAAACGAUGUCUACUUGGAGGUUGUGCCCUUGAGGCGUGGCUUCCGGAGCUAACGCGUUAAGUAGACCGCCUGGGGAGUACGGCCGCAAGGUUAAAACUCAAAUGAAUUGACGGGGGCCCGCACAAGCGGUGGAGCAUGUGGUUUAAUUCGAUGCAACGCGAAGAACCUUACCUGGUCUUGACAUCCACGGAAGUUUUCAGAGAUGGAUUGGUGCCUUCGGGAACCGUGAGACAGGUGCUGCAUGGCUGUCGUCAGCUCGUGUUGUGAAAUGUUGGGUUAAGUCCCGCAACGAGCGCAACCCUUAUCCUUUGUUGCCAGCGGUCCGGCCGGGAACUCAAAGGAGACUGCCAGUGAUAAACUGGAGGAAGGUGGGGAUGACGUCAAGUCAUCAUGGCCCUUACGACCAGGGCUACACACGUGCUACAAUGGCGCAUACAAAGAGAAGCGACCUCGCGAGAGCAAGCGGACCUCAUAAAGUGCGUCGUAGUCCGGAUUGGAGUCUGCAACUCGACUCCAUGAAGUCGGAAUCGCUAGUAAUCGUGGAUCAGAAUGCCACGGUGAAUACGUUCCCGGGCCUUGUACACACCGCCCGUCACACCAUGGGAGUGGGUUGCAAAAGAAGUAGGUAGCUUAACCUUCGGGAGGGCGCUUACCACUUUGUGAUUCAUGACUGGGGUGAAGUCGUAACAAGGUAACCGUAGGGGAACCUGCGGUUGGAUCACCUCCUUACCUUAAAGAAGC
rnacentral:rRNA from 1 species